GCCUUUGUGGUGUAGAUGUCAGCACACUCGGCUUGUAUUCCAGAGGUCCGUAGUUCGAGUCCCGGCGAAGACA
rnacentral:tRNA from 1 species